rnacentral:lncRNA from 1 species
AACGGUCCGUCGCCUCGGUGGCUGAGCUUGUCUUUCUUUCGUGUGGGAAACCUUUCCAGGCAAAGGUGCAGCUAUACCCAUUCAGUGGGUUGAAAAAUCAUCACUUUGCAGUGCUUAUUGGCUCGUCGUGCGUAAUGUUCAGUUUGCUUCUCGAUGUUUCUCCAGAUAGAGCGGCGUUAAAUGUUUGAAACCAUAGACAGCUUUGAACGGAGCGAUUUUG